AAACAACCUUUUAGUUUAACUUCGUUUGAAGGCAUUUAAACAGGCGGAGAAAAGUUUGUUGUGUUUUAAUGUAACAAAUAUGUCUGAGAUUUCAAGAGAUUCGAGUUAUGAAAAAGUUGAAGCUGUAGAGGAAACAAAUGAGUAUGAGCGGCAUCCAGAUUAUGUAGAUCUAUCAGAUUCUACUUAUGAUAGGAUACCGGAUCAACACUUUGAUGGGCAAGAUUAUGUUGAGCUGAAAAAUUCGCAUAAUGAAUAUACGACACCUUCGGAUGUUCAGGAUUAUAACCUAAAGGAUUCCUUGCAAUAUGAAAAACCUAUACAAGUUGUUCGUCCAUUCAGCCAGUUACAACCACCAAAACAACCAAAUAAUUUUGUACCCGAACUCUUUAAAAACGGAACACAAUAUCUACAUGAAAUCAGUGUGGAACACACCCAUGUACACAAUGAAAAACAGAAUACUUACCAGACUCUUGAAGUGGACAACACAGUUCUAAGCAGCAAUGAAAGGCACUCUAACAAAAGCAAACGACCUUGUAUUGUUGGGGUGGCGUUGCUUUUGACAAUAUUGAUAGCAAGCGGCAUGGCAAUAUUCUUAGUUUUCCACUUCAAGGAACAAGAAAACAAAUCGACGAUGUCAACAACGUCAUUUUUCACUUCUACCAUCAUGACAACUAUGGCAUCUUCUGUAUUAUCGUCGGUUACUACAACAUCACUUGCCCAAAGUACACCUAUCUCCCAAACGAUUGCGCCUACAACACUCUCCAAAACAGAAGCUGUUAAUACAUCAACCACAACAACAACUGUUAUCCCCACCACGGUUAUUACAACAACACUGAACUUAACUACCACAACAGUUAUACAAACGGCAAAUCCAGUAACAACUGUCCCCACCACGGAGCUUUCAACAACACCAAGCCCAGUUACUAAAACAGUUAUACAAACGACAAAUCCAGCAUCGACUAUUUCAUCAGCAGGUCUGGUGACAUGUAGUUUAUUGUAUAUAACUCAAUUAAAGAUUAUUUUUCAUUUGCUUCAAAUCUUGGAAAAAUACCUUUUGAUGAUUAUAUUAGUGUAUAUGAGUUUUUUUGUAAAGAAAAUGUUUAUUGCAAAGUAUUCACGAUUGAUAAUAUGUUUUUGUUUUUCAAAACUCUUGCAUUUUUACCUUUCAUUCUACAUGUAACAUAUUCACAUAUUUUCAAUGUCAAAGUAUACGCCUAUAUGAAUAAAUAAUGUAUGUUAAAUGACUGGUGUUUUACAGGUGUGUACAAGGACUGUCAAGAGCUUAAGAUAAAUGGCUAUAGAAACGAUGGAGUGUACACAAUAUAUCCAUAUCUUUCGAUACAAUCACCAGUCAUAGUUUACUGUGAUAUGACCACAGAUAACGGUGGAUGGACGGUUUUUCAACACAGAAGAGACGGAUCUGUAGAAUUUUAUCUUCUCUGGGACGAUUACAAAAAAGGAUUUGGGGACCCAAACGGAGAGUACUGGCUUGGAAACGAUCAUCUUCACCAAUUGACUUCAUUAGGAACUUCAGAUUUGUACGUGCGUCUCGAAAAAUUCACUGGCGGAUGGGCCUUUGCAAGAUAUAACAAUUUCACUGUAGCUGACGAAUCAUAUGGUUACAGAAUGAGAUUGAAAGCCAGGUCAUAUCAAGGAAAUGCAGGAGAUUCAAUUGAAAGUCAUGGAACUACCAAUACAAAUGGCUACAAGUUCAGCACAUCCGAUAUAGAUAACGAUUUUGCUCCCGCAAGCUGCGCCGUCGCACGUCAAGGAGCAUGGUGGCAUAACGUCUGUACGUGGGCAAAUCUGAAUGGACGUUAUCGAAACGGAAGUUGUAUAGUCAGUGAGAAUUGUAACUUCUGGUAUUCGCUGACUAACAGCUAUAGUGGAGUUAAGACGUCAUUCAUGAUGGUUCGGCGUGUUUGAUGAUGCCUUCGAAUUGUGUUUGAACGUUUAUAUAAUUAUGUUUAUAGACAAUAAAUAUAAGAAUGCUCGCAAUGUUUUAUUCGAUACAGAGUUGUAACAUGUAUCGAAGUGAAUAUAAUAUCGCUAAC
rnacentral:misc_RNA from 1 species